rnacentral:rRNA from 1 species
GUGAGGAAUUUUCCGCAAUGGGCGAAAGCCUGACGGAGCAAUGCCGCGUGGAGGAAGACAGCCUGUGGGUCGUAAACUCCUUUUCUCAGAGAAGAAGUUCUGACGGUAUCUGAGGAAAAAGCAUCGGCUAACUCCGUGCCAGCAGCCGCGGUAAUACGGAGGAUGCAAGCGUUAUCCGGAAUGAUUGGGCGUAAAGCGUCUGUAGGUGGUUUCUGAAGUCUGCUGUCAAAUAUCAAGGCUUAACCUUGAGUCGGCAGUAGAAACUCAGAAGCUUGAGUACGGUAGGGGCAGAGGGAAUUCCCGGUGUAGCGGUGAAAUGCGUAGAGAUCGGGAAGAACACCAACGGCGAAAGCACUCUGCUGGGCCGAAACUGACACUAAGAGACGAAAGCUAGGGGAGCAAAUGGGAUUAGAAACCCCAGUAGUCC